GUCGGUGAUCUUCAGGGUCUUGUUGCUGAGGUCUUCCAUCUCGACCCUCUCCAGGAUGAGGACUGGAGCGGGAGGUGAUGGAGGGGAGGUUUUGGUUGGAGGAUGAGGAGGAUGGGAGGGUGGGAGUCGUGCAGAUUGGCGAGUGGGUUAAAGUAAAAGGUUUCGGGUGAUAAUCGUCGUCGGGAUUUGAGAUGUCGGGAGAGCAGCAGGAGUUUCAACGCAACACAAAGCAAAUUGGACAAAUGAUGGGUGAACGAAACAAAACAGGGUGCGGUUGGUGGAAGGAUGAAAGAGAGAGAGAGAGAACAGAGAAACCAAGAAACGCUCCACAAUGCCAGGCCAUCUGCUGCCGGCCGAGCCCAGCCGAGAGGGUGUGUCUGCAGGCUGCGGUGCACAUCAAGCGCCCCCUUCAUCUCAGCCACUUUCCAAAAAGAACCAAGCACGUGGCUAAAGUGCAUCUCGCUCCUGUGCAACAUGAAACAAACACAGCUGGUUCCCCCUCGAGGCCGAUCGCGCUGCAAAUGCAUGCGCUCGCUUUAAUGCACCGUCCUUCAGAUAAGAGCUUGUUGAGUUAAAAAAGAGGCAGUGGAAGGAGCUGGAAAUGAACAGCAAACCCUCCCCCUGUGGAUAAACUGGUUUGGAUUUAGAAACGGUAAAUUACCAGGUGGGUUCCAAAUAAAAAUUUUAAAUAGCACAAAUUACAUGAUUUGCAAGUUCUGGUCAGCAAAAGACGACGUAUGAUGGUAAAGAUUGACAGAUGAUGAUGAUUAAACUGAUUUUAGUUUAACCCUCUGAAACCCAAAAUCUGACACCUAGUUUGAAAGGCUUGUUUUAAAAAGAAGCUAAAAUUACAGCAUUUAUCAGAGGCAGAAACUCUGGAAACAGAACUUUCCAACAGUCCUUGAACUCAUCAUCUGUGAUGUGCAAUCAGAAAACCAAAUCCAAGCUUAACAUCAUCUUCAAAAUGGCUUUAUUCCACUUUAAAAAAUGCCAAUCUACGAUGACAUUAAUGACUCAGCUCCGACAAACAGCCAGGUGACAAAAAUUCAGGAACUAUUGGGCUGAACUGCAUGCAGUGUUUACACACAAUGGAUAGGAAACAAGUAAAGAAACAAGUUUUAAAAAGUAAAAUUUGCAGUCUCCAUUUGUAAAUAAAUAAUUCUGGAAGUCCAACUUUCAUUUUUUAAAAAAUAUAAUUUAUGGCAUUAUAACAUUGUUAAAAUGUAGAUAUUUAUGACUUCUGUCUACUUCUAGUCAUAGAUGUUCUGUUUUCAUAGAGGUGUGAGAUUUUAUACUGCAGUGAAAAGUGAAAUCGCAGUGAGAAAAAAAUGUAACAGGAGAAAAAAUAACAGCUAGAAACUACCGUAGUUUAGAGGAUUUAACAUUUUUGAAGUUCUGUUCCAGUAGAGUACAGUGAAUACCACAUAUGGUCCACUGUUUGUCAUCAUUCCUGUACAGGCCUGGUUCUGUAAAAGAGAAAUAAAGUGUCUCUGAUUGAUCAA